GUUGACGGAAUACUUGUGAUGCUUGAAGGUUACCCCUACGUUAAUUGUUUCUGCAACAGGUUCCUCUGACAUACAGUGAGAGAAUGCUUUGACAAAUUGCCUGGCAGAUCGCUAACUGCAAAAAACAUCCGAGUUGCCAUCAGCCAUUACAGCAAACUUAAGAUUUUUCUGGAAGCUCCUUCCUUUUCCUCCUGCUCUUCUGGAGCAAGAAGCCAUUGGGUUCCCUCAAAGGCAAGCCUUGCAGGGUUGAAUAAUUCAAAACAAAUAUGGAAAGAUACUUUGUGAGUUCAUAGACGUCUAACAUGAUAGUGAG